CUCACUCACUCUCACUUUCUUCUGCCUCGUCUCUCGGCGAUCCCCUAUUCCCUUCCCCUAAUAAACCUCCCACGUGGAACCGAUCUCGUAGUGUGAUUUGUGAACCUGCUGUGUAAUCUUCACAGGUGUACGUUUCCUAACAUUGGUGAAUUUUGGCCGGGAUUAGGUCCCCUCCAGUGGACACACCGAGCGGGGAAUGCCGGCACCCUGCCGGGGCUUCUGGAGACCUAUUUUUCUCCAAAUCCGCCCGAGAUCUCCACUUUCCGGCUACCAGAUUGCUACAGAGGCAUCCAACACUGGCUGGAUUGAUAAAGUUCCACCCCGCCCGCCAGCUGCACCGCCGCCGCUGCCGUUAGUCCCAGCAGCCGAUAGAGUGGAGACACAUAGUGCAAAAAUCGAAGUUUCAGAACUUGGCCAACACUAAGCCUCAUUUCAAGUUGUGUCCUGCCAGACACAGAUGUUUCCUAUAGCCACAACAGCACCAAAGCAACUACAGGUGUUCAACUCUGACCUCACACAGUUCCAACAAGCCGGACCUGCACCUUCCCUCCCAGCCAUGGGUGUUCUCACAGACCUGGGAAAGCAUCAAAGCAGUCUAUUCUUCCUGGACUUGGCCAACAUUUCAGCCUUUUGACCUCCCUACUGUGCCCCCAGUGUCAGCAGGAAGUAGCCAGAAGAGACCAUUAUUCACUUGUUAACAAAGGGCUGAAGUGGUGUGCUUCAGGACCAGGACAAGUGGCUCCAGGUUCUCCCAGUGUUCCCCAGUCCCUACCUGCUGCUGCCCUGCAUUGCUGGCAACUCUCUAUUGACAACCCUCUACCCUAAAUUUUCCAGGGCAGAGGCUUCCCUUACUCUUGACCUUGCAAUCUGACCAUUUUGUUUUGACCAUUCUUGCAUGACAACCAAGAGCUGCUUCCAAUGAGCCUAAACUUACAUACUUUAACUUACCUUAUAAAAGGCAGCCCAAGCUCCCUAUUUUUAAUUAUAGAGAAAGGGAGGAAUGUUAGUAUUUUGGAACACAAGCUGCUUCUGGGUUGCCCAGCAACCUAUCAUGUGUUGUCAGCCAGCCAGGUGACCACACCUGGAGGGCAUGGUUACCUUCCGACUUAAAGGGCCCACCCCAACACGUGGUCUCUUGCCCCCUCUCUCUCUUACUUCCCCCUUCUUUCUUUCUCUCUCUCUCUCUCUUUCCCCUCGUCUCUUUGCAACCCCCCUUCCCCUAAUAAACCUUCCAUAUGGAACCGAUCUCUUGGUGUGAUUUGUGAACCCGUUGUGUAAUCCUCACAGGCGCAUUUUUCCUAAUAUUGGCAUGUUUCCUAACAGUGAGAUCUAGUUCCCACCAAUGGGAUCAGAUAGAAUCACUAGCUAAAUCAGGCCAUUUUGGUAAGCAUAGCCUUGUUUGUACCCUUCUUGCCAAAAGAAACCUUGCUGAAUUAUUUUUGCUUUGACCAUGCAUUCUA